AACGCGAAGAACCUUACCUGGGUUGAACUACGUGGGAAAAGCCGCAGAGAUGCGGUGUCCUUCGGGGUCCACGAUAGGUGGUGCAUGGCUGUCGUCAGCUCGUGUCGUGAGAUGUUGGGUUAAGUCCCGCAACGAGCGCAACCCUUGUCCUAUGUUGCCAGCGGGUAAAGCCGGGGACUCGUAGGAGACUGCCGGGGUCAACUCGGAGGAAGGUGGGGACGACGUCAAGUCAUCAUGCCCCUUAUGUCCAGGGCUGCAAACAUGCUACAAUGGCCGGUACAAAGGGCAGCUAAACCGCGAGGUCAAGCGAAUCCCAAAAAACCGGUCUCAGUUCGGAUUGAAGUCUGCAACUCGACUUCAUGAAGCUGGAGUCGCUAGUAAUCCCGGAUCAGCAACGCCGGGGUGAAUACGUUCCCGGGUCUUGUACACACCG
rnacentral:rRNA from 1 species